GUACCUUUUGCAUCAUGGUCUGACUAGUAAAACCAAGCAAAGUGAAAUUUAAGUUUGACUUCCCGAAACUAGACGAGCUACUUCAAAACAGCCUUAUGGGCCAACCCCUCCCUGUUGCAAAAGGGUGGGAAGAUUUUCAAGUAGAGGUGACACACCUACCGAGCCUAGAGAUAGCUGGUUAUUCAAGAAAAGGAUCUAGUCCAAUUUUAAACCUUCUUACAUCACUAAAUACACCACCAGCUUUAAAAUUUAUUCAAAUAAGGUACAGCCUAUUUGAAAUAGGAUACAACCUAUCCAACAGGGUAAUGAUACAUCCACAUGACUAAGUUGGCUUAAAAGCAGCCACCUUUAAAAAGCGUUACAGCUUAAUCACACGAUAUCACUAAUUACCACUAAAACUCAAAACCCUUACCCCCUAUUGAAUGAAUCUAUACCCAUAUAGAAGACCUUAUGUUAGAACUAGUAAUAAGAAAUUUUUCUCCUUAAAGCACGUGUAAGCCAGAAUGAAACACUCACUGGCACUUACCGCCACAAAUGUAUAGUAUUAACCUUGCAAGAAAAAUCUACUAUCUCCAGUCGUUAACCUCACACCAGAGCUUUACCGGAAGAUUUAAAAAGGAGGAAGGAACUCGGCAAAAAAUAACCCCGC
rnacentral:rRNA from 1 species